AAAUCAGUUGAUGAGAGAAUAACUGCAAGAAUACGAUGGAUUCGUUCCAUGAUUCUCUGUACUUAAGUCUCUGAUGAUU
rfam:Morus notabilis contig13638, whole genome shotgun sequence.